GCGGCAAAAGCUCAAAUUUGAAAUCUGGUACCUUUGGUGCCCGAGAUUGUAAUUUGGAGAGUACCACUUUGGGACUGUACUUUGCCUAUGUUCCUUGGAACAGGACGUCAUGGAGGGUGAGAAUCCCGUGUGGCGAGGGUGUCAGUUCUUUGUAAAGGGUGCUCGAAGAGUCGAGUUGUUUGGGAAUGCAGCUCUAAGUGGGUGGUAAAUUCCAUCUAAAGCUAAAUACAGGCGAGAGACCGAUAGCGAACAAGUACAGUGAUGGAAAGAUGAAAAGAACUUUGAAAAGAGAGUGAAAAAGUACGUGAAAUUGUUGAAAGGGAAGGGCAUUUGAUCAGACAUGGUGUUUUGCGCCCCUUGCCUCUCGUGGGCUUGGGACUCUCGCAGCUCACUGGGCCAGCAUCGGUUUUGGCGGCCGGAAAAAACCUAGGGAAUGUGGCUCUGCGCCUCGGUGUAGAGUGUUAUAGCCCUGGGGAAUACGGCCAGCCGGGACCGAGGACUGCGAUACUUGU
rnacentral:rRNA from 1 species